AUUACUCCUACGGGAGGCAGCAGUGGGGAAUAUUGGACAAUGGGCGCAAGCCUGAUCCAGCAAUACCGCGUGUGUGAAGAAGGCCUGCGGGUUGUAAAGCACUUUCAGUUGGGAAGAUAAUGACGUUACCAACAGAAGAAGCCCCGGCUAACUUCGUGCCAGCAGCCGCGGUAAUAAU
rnacentral:rRNA from 1 species